UGGGGAAUAUUGCACAAUGGGCGCAAGCCUGAUGCAGCCAUGCCGCGUGUAUGAAGAAGGCCUUCGGGUUGUAAAGUACUUUCAGUCGGGAGGAAGGUGGUAAGGUUAAUAACCUUAUCAAUUGACGUUACCGACAGAAGAAGCACCGGCUAACUCCGUGCCAGCAGCCGCGGUAAUACGGAGGGUGCAAGCGUUAAUCGGAAUUACUGGGCGUAAAGCGCACGCAGGCGGUUGAUUGAGUCGGAUGUGAAAUCCCCGGGCUUAACCCGGGAAUUGCAUCUGAUACUGGUCAGCUAGAGUCUUGUAGAGGGGGGUAGAAUUCCAUGUGUAGCGGUGAAAUGCGUAGGGAUGUGGAGGAAUACCGGUGGCGAAGGCGGCCCCCUGGACAAAGACUGACGCUCAGGUGCGAAAGCGUGGGGAGCAAACAGG
rnacentral:rRNA from 1 species